GACGAACGCUGGCGGCGUGCUUAACACAUGCAAGUCGAACGAUGAAGCCGGAGCUUGCUCCGGUGGAUUAGUGGCGAACGGGUGAGUAACACGUGAGCAAUCUGCCCUUGACUCUGGGAUAACUGCGGGAAACUGUAGCUAAUACCGGAUACGACACCUUGGGGCAUCCCAGGGUGUGGAAAGAAUUUCGGUCAAGGAUGAGCUCGCGGCCUAUCAGCUAGUUGGUGAGGUAAUGGCUCACCAAGGCGACGACGGGUAGCCGGCCUGAGAGGGUGACCGGCCACACUGGAACUGAGACACGGUCCAGACUCCUACGGGAGGCAGCAGUGGGGAAUAUUGCACAAUGGGCGAAAGCCUGAUGCAGCAACGCCGCGUGAGGGAUGAAGGCCUUCGGGUUGUAAACCUCUUUUAGCAGGGAAGAAGCGAAAGUGACGGUACCUGCAGAAAAAGCACCGGCUAACUACGUGCCAGCCGCCGCAGUAAGAC
rnacentral:rRNA from 1 species